AUAUUAUUAAGCGGAGGAAAAGAGACUAACAAGGAUUCCCCUAGUAACGGCGAGUGAAGCGGGAAAAGCUCAAGUUUAGAAUCGGUACUCGUUAGAGUAUUGAGUUGUAAUCUAAAGAGGUAGUGUCAGUGGUGGCCCGGGUAUAACUCCCUUGGAAAAGGGGAUCAUAGAGGGUGAUAAUCCCGUCUUUGACUCGGAGCCCGCCGCGGACGAUGCUUUCUUAUAGAGUCGGGUUGUUUGGGAUUGCAGCCCUAAAUGGGUGGUAAACUUCAUCUAAAGCUAAAUAUUGGCGGAGACCGAUAGCGCACAAGUA
rnacentral:rRNA from 1 species